AAGACAAUCGAAUUUGCUAACUAAAAGUAAAAAGAGGCUAUUUUUUGUGUCAACCCCUACAAAUAGGCCUACAUAACAAGAUAAAACGACUAGGCUACUUUAUAGGCUUAAUUUCCAUUUAUCUGGUUUGAGAAUGCGUUUAACAAGUUAUUAACAGCAAAUUUUCCAACAUGUUUUGAAUGCAGCACUAUUGUAAGUAACAUGCGGUAUGUUUAGGGUUUAUAUGAUAAAGGUUCAUUUUAAUAUUAGUCUUUCCAACUCUUUUAUUUAUUUAUUUAUUUUUAUUUACAAAUGGGGCUACAAACUCCCCAUGUAUGAUAAAAGUUUUGCUGGAAUUGGGAAAGUAGAUAUCCUGCUGUCGUAGCAGGUGCGCUUUUUGCGCAAAUCCAAGCUGCUUUGCGGCUAUACAUCGGCCUUAUUGGCGGAGACAAACAGCGGUUGUUAAACAGAGACGCUUUGGGGCUUGAAGUCGUGAUUAGAGUCAUGUGAUGAUGGAGAGGAUGGAGGAAGGCAGAGAGGGAAGGAGGGAGGUACAGGAGCGGAGCGCCGCCGGGGAUCACAUAGCGACCCCAAUUUCCUGAACCUGAGGAGAAAAUAUCACAAACACCACUGCCCACACAGACGCUGCCUGCCUCUCCACUCCAGAGUACCCUUCCCCUAAAGACACAAGAAUGAGGGUGACCUAAAGAAGAGAAAUAUGAAUACGAAGCGACUGCAGUGUGGCCCAAACACCAUGGAUGAGUCCCAGCACCAAGACAUAGAUUGUAAAGUGGGAAAACAAGUCUAUGGGGCACACUGAACAUGCCAUCCAAAGACUGAAGCUGCAAAAAAGCUGUUCAAAAUCAAGCUCAGCUUUAGCUUGAGCACGACUGACUCUUCAUUUAAUUAAAUGUUUUGGCAUCCUGGUGGCCACAGGUCUGGGUCUGUCCAGUUGCAAGCACCUUCCCCUCUUCGUCCACAAAAGCCAAUAAUUGCGUACUAAACAAAAAGGGGGAAAGGAUCCACAACAUCACCUGUCAUCAAGCAUGUUCGACACGACUUAAAAGCGAUGGACCAAAGAGCUGGAAACAUCUUAGUGACUGCAGCUACGAUGGACAGCAUUAACAAUGUAUUCCUACAAAGUGUUUAUAAUGCAUGUAUGCACUUCAGAUGUUUAUUGAAUUACAUUUAUGUUUAAAUAAAAAUAUGUAUCAGCGUA